ACUCCCAACCCUGAGAUCAAAAGUCGUAUGCUCUACUGACUGAGCCAGCCAAGCACCCCUCUAAGUUAUGUUUUAAAGAUCACUUUAAACUCUGGGUGAUGGGAAUCAGGCUGGGAUAGGUUAGUAGUGGGUCCUACAACCUCAACUGGGCCCUCCACUCAGCCCUCAAGGCCCCAGGUCUCCUUUAUUCAGGAGGCAGGAGUGCCACAGCGACCCGUCACAGAGGAGGCUUGUCCUCUCCUCCCUACUACGACUGAGUAAAGGGUUGGACGUUGGCUGGCAGCAGUCCUGCAGCACUAAUGAAGUUUAGGAAGUGCUUAGCUGAAAAGGCCACGGAUCGGGUAAUUGAAUUGGUGUCAGACACAUAAUGGCUUUGAGAGUCUUUUCUCCCUCAUUUGGUAAGAAGAGCCUUUGCCCUCACAUCCUCCGUAAAAGCUCAAGGAGAAAAGGAUGUUCACCCAGCUAUAUAUCAACCCUGUCUAUUCAGCAGGAGUUUUGGGAAACCAUAUGGAGAAGCACACUUUUUAAGAAGGCUUUGGGGACUGUUAAUAGCAGGCUGGGCAGGGCACAGGAAGAGGCUGCGAAUGAGUGUGUUCCACAAGAUGCUGCCAGGUGAUAAAAUAUUAAAACGAAUACCAACCCUCGCUCUUCAAGGAAUGGUCUUAAUGAUUGUGUCAGAUAUCUGGGCUCUGUGGUCAAAUGGACAGUGAGCUUUGGGCUUUAUCAAAAAUAGUUUAAUGGGUGCCAUGAAUGGAUGCCAAGAAUGGUUAAUGGGUGCCAGGCCCUGUCCUAACCUCUUAUGCAUCAUCUCAUUUAAGCCUCCUAACAAUCCAACAAGGGAGGCACUAUUCUCGUCCCCAUUUUACAGGUGAAGAAACCGAGGCUUGCCUAAGAUCACACAGUUGUGAUGUAGUGAAGCUUGGCUUGCAAUCUAGGAUUGGGGUUCUAACACCAGUGGGUUUUUUUUUCUUCUUUGAUAAAAAACUUACAGGGAAACAGAGUAUGUCCAUGGACAGUAAAAGGUAGUACUCAAGAGUUUACAAUGAGUUAACUCCGUCCCACCAAUCCAGACCCUACUCCAGAGGCAGUCAGCAUUGCUGGCUUCUUGUACUGCCUUCCGGCUAUACAGAUUACACACACAGAUACAUAUGUGUUUGUAUGUCUACACAUGAGUACACAAAUGGUUGUGUGUUACCUACCCUAUCUGUGCCUUGUUUUCUUGACUUCGACUCCUUAGGACUUUCGAGACUUUUCUGGUUUUUUGGCCUUUCUGUAUGUUUUGCCAUCGGUAACAAUGUUGCCACAAGCAUCCUCAGGCAAAUGGCUCCGCAAAUGUGUGUGAGCGACACGGUGCUUUUGACCACAAGAGCAAGAUGAUCUGCAGGGACAGUUGGGGUCAUUCACUAGUCAUUGGCUCAGGGACCACACUUCUAUCCUCUCCAGGGUACUGGGGAUGGCAACCAGGGAGCCAUAUAGGCUUUGAGACAUCCCGUAUGUACAACCUUUAGGUUUGAUAGUGACAGACUUCACCACCCGGUGCCCCAGGGACAUUUCUGAAUGAAGACAAGAAUGUGGGUAGCAGAAGUUCCUCUCUGCAGCCACCAUCUCAUCACAACCCCCUUGGGGAAGCCAGGAAUUGUAAGGGUCAUGUGUUAAGCCUGCUGCGCCAGGCAGGUGGAGCCCCAUCAUGCCUGGUUCACUUAAGGAGGCGGGGCUGAAGCCCAGAGAUGAAGCAGCUUGCCCAAGGUCACACCGUAAACAUGGUGGGGAGGCCAGUGGGUUGGGGCUUCUGUCUCCUCUGCACUGCUCCCUCCAUUCCCCCAUCUUGGCUCAACGAGUUCUGAUUAACAGAGCUUUGCCUCUUCUCUAGCUUGUCCUAAGGCUUGAAAAGUCCCUGAAGCCACUUCUGGGCCUGGGGGACAGGGUGCGGGCUGCCCUUUUGGCACCUGUUUGCCUUCCCUUCCCUAGGGUGAAGCUGGCUUUUUGUCUCAUGAGGUUGGUGUUUUGUAUAUAAACUGCUGCUAUCUUAGUAUCAGUUAGGACGUCUUUGGUGGUGACAAACAACCCCCAAAUUAUACUGGCUUCAUACCCGGAUUUAUUUUGUACUUACUCAUGUACUCCCUGACUCAGGCCUCUCCCCAUGCCAGCCGUUCUCUGUAGUGACUCAGUGCCCCCAUGCGCUUUCAUCUUGUGGCUUACCACCACAGUGGGUGGCCUCCGUGACUGCUGUGGGGUGGGGGCGGGGCUGGGGAGGGAGCGUGGAGCACGGGAGGAUCACACACUCACUCUUGAAUGCCUCUGUCACUUCCACUCAUAGCCCACUGGCCGGAACUAGGCAUGUGGCCACACCUAAUUGCAAGGGCCUGGGCAGCGUGGAGGUGGACGUGUCAUGUGUGUAAUUCUGAGCAAUACGUGUCUCUGCCAAGUCCUCAGGCUUGGGGGGGGCGGUGGGCGUGCAGGUAAACACGGGCUGCAUUAAGCAGGGCAAUGACCACAGGCCUGUGGGGGCUGAUUGUGAAUAACGGAUCUGGGGACUGGUGGUAGCUUUUAGGUGCUCCUCAAUUGCUGAUUCAGCUGCAGAGGACUUGUAUUUUUCUUAACCGUCUUCCUGUCCACUGAAACACAUGUGCAGAGAACUCCACGCAGCAAAUGUAGAGCUUAACUUUGGUAAAUUCAUUAUAAGGCACAUAUAUAAGCUUGAGUCUGCCUGCCGGGGCAAGAAGCAGAACGUAACAGAGUUAACUGUUACAACUUUUGGACUCAGACUCUAUGCCACCAAACUUGAGUCUAAUGGAGCUUUGGAAAAAUGAAGCUUUGAAUUUCAGAGGUACAGUGCUCCACUUUCUGCUGAGGCUGUCUAAUCUCGACAAGGAACUUGCGCUAUAAGGAGCCGGAGGGAGUGAGGAGGCCCUCUCCCCCACAGAGAAUGCGUGGAUGGGGCGCGGGGAGCCUGUGGCUGGCCGGCCAGCAGCCUGGGGGACGGUAGCCAGGCUCUCCCCGUCUGCCCUCACUGUGCACUUGGUUCCUGGGUCAGCCUGCUUCUUGUGGCCCCAGUGCUCCCCGGGAAUGCAUCUGCCCUGAGAGGCCACCACACCCACCACGAGGCCUCUCCUUCAGGCCCAAAUGCAGCUUAGAGGUCAGCCUGACCCCGGGGACUCCCAGCUCCGGGCAGAAGCCCCAUUACCCCUGCCAAGGUAUGUGUCAGCCUAGAAGCAGCACUCCGUGUUUUGGUAACUUGUAAAAGCCUAAUCCUAGAAAGACUGCGUGUUCCUGGCGGCUGGCUCACCCCGCCUCCGGGGAGCCUGCCGCACCUGCUGGGAGGCAGUACUGGGUGGGACCCUCCCCCCACCCCCAUCUAGAUCUGUCACUGCAUAUUUCCAGGCCCAGGUCAGACUCGGGCGAGUAUGGCUUUCUCCCCUCUCCACACCCUGGUCUCCUGCACCCAUGAAGCUGCCGACCCAGUUUCUGAUGGGAAAGUGAGGAUCUCUGCGCAAAGUCAGAUGAGAGGAGAGGAAGCAAACACUGUGCUGCCUUAACAUAACGCAGACACGACCCUCCUUCUGAGCGAGGGGUGAGGAACCUGGGCCUUCCCACUCAGAGCGUUUGGAACAAACUCCCAAAAUACCAGAGGCUCAGUACGAACCUCCUUUGCUGUCACCAGGAGGAAGGAUGAAUCAUACCCAACACGCGAUUUCCCUCGUCCCCAAACACUGCAUGGAUACUUACAUUUAGUGGCAUUUUACAUGUGCAAGGUAUUUUUUAAGAAAUUCUUUUCUCUCUGUCUUUUUUUCUAAACCAAAACACCAGCUGUAAAACCCACGGCUUCCUUCCCCUCUAGGUCUGCCGCAGUAGGAGGCGGCAGCGGCAGACGGCCGGCCCCCUGUGCUCUGAGUCAGGCCUCCCUCUCGGCGGCUUGCUGCCUGCAAAACAAACUUAAAAGCUGGUGAAUGGCACUUAGGGGCCCACAAGCACGCAGGGAGGCCUAAAAUAUUUGCAGAGCACACACUCUGCUCACAGAAUGAAAGGCCACUAUGUAAAUAGCUGGGCUCUGUCGGGGUGAGGCAUCUUCAAAGCGGCUUCUGCUUGUCACAUCAAGCCAGCAAGGAUGCAAAGACAUUCAUUCAAAAGCAGCACGCAGGAACCACACCACGACUUCCUGGCCCCAGAAGGUAGACUCAGAAAGGGACCACAGCCUGGAGUCCCGUGUUUCUUUUCCUCGCCCUUUCUCCUGCGCUGCACAGUGCACAGGGUGGUUUUGUGAGAUGGCUUACAAUGUCAGCUUUCAGGGCUGGGCAGACAUGAUCAGUUUUCUCUCUUCUGGCAGGGGAAGGCUUUUCUGGAAGACGCUCAAAAGGCAACCAUAGUUACUAAUGGAGCAUGGCAAAGCAUGAGACAGAGGUAGUUAUUACCCAGGCUUGACAAAAAAAGGAACGUGGGAUGGUUUUUGCAUCAAGCCACAAAUACUAAUUCCAAAGACUCCCAGCAACAAUGACCGUGAUUUCCAGUAUGCACCACAGUGAAAGAAUGGCUAAAGGUGCACACUGUUUCUUCAGAUGUUUAAUUGCUGGAGGAACCUCAACUGGUACAAAAGAGCACCUGCCUCCAACUUCUGAUUUUGAAAAAAGAAAUGAGAGAAGAGACAGAUGAGAGGACAAAGGUACCUCCCAGGCAUGGCUAUCACAGAACUGGUUUUAUUCCUCAUUGGUUUCCGGAAUACAGGAGGAGCUGGGGAAAGGACUAGCAUUUGAAAGCACCUACUCUGUACUGCGCUGUAACUGCAGCACAUCAUUUGACCUUCCCGACGUGCAGGGGACAGACUGACAGCUCUCUGCAACUUUUCCAAACUGGAAGGCCACACCAUUCACUCCAACAUAUGAAAAUGUCUACCAACUAACUCGUAAGCACACUGGGUAUUUACAUCGACGAUCUGACUAAAGAAAGGCGGCGGGUGCUCAGAUGAGCUGAAAAUGUUCCAUGAAGGUAAGCAUGGCUCGUACUUUCCCAAUAUGAUUGGCAGACUGGAAAAAAGUCUCUUUCCUUGAAGACUGAUGCCCUGUGUGCAACAGAGAAGGGAUGGGGGGAAGCGGAGACACAGACAGCAGGCUGUGCCCUGAGCUGGCAACUACCACAGGAAGAUCAUGGCGGGAAGAACGGCCAACUUUGACAAGCCUGUCCCUUAUGGUCUCCAUGACGUUCUGAUUGUACUAUGCUAGGUACCACUCACUCUUCACUUUUCUUUCUGCGACAAGAUUUGGCUACUCCUUGCAAUAGACUAGAAAAAUACUCUUUUCCAGCUAAUUAGAAGCCUCCUACAUGGCAAGGUGACAGGUAGACCCAGACUGCUGACCUAACCAUCUGUGCACCCAAAUUGGCAAGUCUGGGUUUUUGAGAUGCAGGAGAAAGACACUUAGGCAUUGGAAGGGUUUUUACAUAUGGCCUUGUUUUUUUCCCCCAAGUAUAAACAAAGCAUUUGGUGAUGUGAGAUUCAGUCCAGGAUGAAAACAAGAACAGAAACCCACAAACAAAAUGCAACCCACCACUCUUCAUAUUUAUGACAUUUAAAAUUUCCCCCCAUUAAGCGAAAAUAGCCAGUGGGGGUGUGGGAGGAAGCUCCUUCUAAUUUUCUUUACCACAACUUCAGUGUUUCUCAACUGGAACUCUUUGGAGAACACUGGUUUGUGUGUGAAUAGUCUAUCUUGUUUGCAAAACAAUGAGCAGAACUUCAUUAGUGUUUUCUUCUAAUAUUGCUAAAUUUUUAGAAGUGGUGGUGACACAGUUUUAAAAAGUUCUACUUUAGGGGUAACUGGGGAAGCUCAGACAAACCUGAAAUCCCCUUUUUCUACCCCUGGUCUAAGAGGAUGCAAUGCAGUUUAUGGAAUUUCCUGAUUCACACAAGUUAAUCUGAAGUUAAGGCUCAAUUCUCAUUUUUGUGGGUGAAUGUUUUGUAUCAGUAAAUAAUUGUCAGGUUUUUAGGGGGAGGGCACAGGAAAUGUUUAUGGGCUCCAAACAGAAACUGCAGCUUACUUGGCAAAUUUGGGUUUACAAAAGUUAAAGCGAUCUUGUUUUGUGGUAGACGUUUGUUAACUAGCUCACCUCCUAUACAUAAUGUGACUGCAGGUUACAAUACUUCUGGUAGGGUUUCAUCAUUCUGACGUUACCUAUCUGCAGGAAUCCGCUGCUCCUUAGCAACCGGCAAGCCGACCCAUGAGAAAGAUCUCCUAGAAAACCAACUACAAAACCCACCCCAAAUCAGCAGUUCCGACUGCAGGUGCCUCUGCGCUGGAAGAGCACCUGCACAUCACCCCGCAGUGGUAGCAGGCCCGCAGGGGCAGGUAACAGCACAUACAGGGGGCCAGGAAAGACAAGGCAAUAAGAGCCAUCCACCGGAGGCAAAACUUCUCGUCGCUAGUAUCGCACGAGCACGGGUCUGUAUAGUCUCCCUCGGGGUCCGACAUACAGUGAUAGAGCAUGCUGUCCGCACACCACAUACAGCUCACCCGGCGGAUGCAAGUUCUCACAGAGUCGGGCGCGUCCUGACAGUGGCCCCUCCGGUUUUCCUCGUGGUUGAACAUGUCCCUGCAGUACUCGCACCGGGAGCGCUCGCCGUCCUCCUUCCGCCUCCGGGACUUGCCCCGGGACGGCUGGGUCUUGAUCACGCCGCCCCCGCGCCCUUUGGGGUCCUCGCCGAGGCCGAAGUCCGAGGAGUCCACGUAGGGGUAAUUGUAGUCGUGCUUGGGGACCUCGCCCUUGGCGAACCGCACGUAGGAGUCGGCGUCCUCUGAGGCGUCGGGGGAUUUGCCCCGCACUGGCGCGUGCCGGUAGUCCUCGUAGCCGGUCAGCCAGAUCUUCUCCCUGGGGUUGAUGCGCACAAUCUCCUCGUCGUCGUCCGGGAAGCUCACCUGGCGCACACCGGUGGCCACAUCACCCCCACGGGCACCAGUCCAUGCCCCACAGUUCGGGAGCCUGCUCUGCCAAACAGCCGCUUGGUAAAUAUUUGUUGAAUCACUGAAUGCCAGACUCCAGCUACAUCCCCCCAAGCAAGCCUGGGCCUGUAACCCGCGAUGCCAGGGUGCCUGAGCCAAGCGGACAGCAUUCUUUAGUCCCUAUCCUGGCUCUGGGCUUUCACACAAAGCCAGGAAGCCCUCUGGACAGAGGAACUCAGGAGAUAGCAUAGCCCCGUGGAGAACCCACGCCUGCAUUUGAGACUUGUUCCAUCAAGGACUUUCUCUCUCUAAACCUCAGCCUUCUCUUCCAUCAACCGGGGAGGCCCAGGACCUGCCCUGUGGGAUAAUUUGUGAGGACUCAAUGAGAUUAAGCACACGGAAGGUUUAGCAAGGGGUCUGGCACACAGAAAACUAAGGACGAGCUGCCGUCACCACCGUCAAUACGGGGAACAGAGAAGGCCUGGGCUCGAGCAGCGGGCUACAUGGAAGGAGGAGGAGGCUGUUCCAGAUCAGGAACCAUCCACACCUUGCCCUCAAAGGAACCAGACUGCCGCGCACCUGUUCGAGGUGAUAGUGGUCCGUGGGGUAUGGGUCAUGGAGGUGGCCCAGGGUGUAAAUCCUCCGGUGCUCACAGGAUGUGGGAGAGGAGAUUGUCCGAGUAGGUUGUUCCCUCUUCUGGGAGGAAUUAGAAGAACUGUCUGUAGCUGUCUGUUUAGAGGGAGGUAACCAAGAGUUAAUUAAAAUGAAAACAAAAACCAAACCCACAUACCAAAACCUAACACGCCGUCUACCCCCCACUCUGGUGUCUUGCCGGACUUCCCGAAAUCUGGAGUUUAUCUUGGCUGUGGGAAGCACCAGGACCCCUGAAGGGCCAGAUUGUCUAAACAUGAUGUGGCUGGCUCAAGGGGCAGAGAAAGCCAGCCACCAAGACCCUGGAAAAGUUGGGUUUGUUUUCUCAAAUGUGGGAGCAGCCACCAGGCUUUGGGGAAAGGGCUCACUACAUCAGGCCUCCUGUGGGUACAUCCCAGUUUGAUCAAGAAUGGUUACACCACUGGUAGCCCUGGCUGCAAGGGACUCUGGUGAGCAGAGGAGAAGCAUAUAAGCCAAGAUCAAACCCAAAUGUUUCUGUGCGGAGCUGAUCCUGGCAAAGUGUCAGAAAUAAGGCUACCUCAAGGGUAUCGUAGGCUCUGGCUUUCCAGGAAGAGAUGUUGUAAUCUUUGGGUUGAAGGCAAGCCUUGAGGGUCACUGGAAGCUGGAAGUGACAGAGACAGCUUCACAGAGAAUGCAGGCCCCUCUCUUUUGGACCUGAGUGCAGAACUCCUCUCCUGGUAGAGACGAGUUCAGAUUGGAUCCUCUGUGACAGGGUCUUUGGAAGGUGAUGGAUCUGAUGGACGGUGGCCACCACGUUCCAAACCAAGAAUCUUCAGAACCACCCACCAGCCCUCUGCAUCCUCAGAGUCACAGAUCCUUUUCUUCCCCAAACCAAUGAAAAGGUUUUCCUUAUAUCUAGGUGUCCUAUUUUUGGCAAGUAUCGACGAACUCCUUCCUGGCUCUCAUUUCUCAGUCUUCUAUUCCCCUUGUCUCAUUUGCUUAUUUCUUUUUUUACACCCUCUCCCCCAACUUAUUGAGUAACGAAUGCCCAGAAAAAUGGGACAAGUAUUUAGGACAAAGACACCCAUAUUCCCAUUAUGCAGCACAACUACAUUAAUUUUAAAAACUUAGUGGACAUGUGUGGCAUCCCUUUGGCAACCCAACCCUCCUGAUUUUUUUUCUCCAAUUCUGUUUGGUCCAAGUGAGACAGAGCUGAUGCCCGUUUCUGAUCCCUCCAUCCAGAGUGACUAAUUCAGGUAUGGCUACACGGUCCUCUCUGAAGUUAAUACGGAGAUUUUUCAUGGAGAGGUCAGAAAAGAUGCCGUCUUUUUCUCUGAAGAUCUAAGAGUCCUAAAAGCCUGGAAUCCUGGCCAGGCACAGGGAAAGCACCUUCCAGGGAGGAAGUGAAGCAAAACUAAGAGAAGGCAGCCCCUCCACCCCCUCCCAGAGCCAUUUGAGCUUGGAUCCAGUCAAGGCUGCAGCCUGCGAUCUACCCUAGGGUGUCCCAAUGGUGUGGGCCGAUUCCCUUUGGUAACUUAAGCCCAGAUGCAUGGGAUUCAUCACUUGGGUGUGCUUUCCCCUCACUUUUGGCUUCUCCGUGGCAGUUCCGCCCGCAUCCCACUCCUGCCUGUGUCCGGCCCUCACUCCUCUCCACAGCAGUGCAAGAGGAACCGGGCACGCAGCGUCUGCUCCUUCUCUGCUCUGCCUCUUGGGAGCCACCUGCCUGGCAAACAGCACGUACUGGCAACCACUCUGGGGACUGUGCGGCCUGCUUGGAGGCCAAGGGCCAACCCACUGUGGGAGGCUUUGGAGGUCCAGCGCCCGUGCCUGGUGGGGCAGGUCUGUUUGAUCGAGAGGUCCCAGCCCGAGACGUCUGCUUCCCGCAGAUGUCAGCCAGGACUGGCAUCCUCACUCAUUAAGGGUCUCCUGUCUUUUUUUUCCCCUCAGUAGUUCAGAACUUGGGGAAGAAUUGCUAUUUACUCCUCAAAUCCCAGGAACUGAAAGAAACCAAACUGACGCGCAAGGAGUUUUGACUCUCUUCUGGAGUCUGUCUUGUCUUCGAUCUCCUGACCUGCUCUUUCUUCAGGUCUUCAGAGGUACUGACUGAACACACAGGGGAGGGGGUUGUGGACCAGACAGAACAAUAAAGCAAAGAGCUCUUAGUCGUC